GCGUAUAUUAAAGUUGUUGCAGUUAAAAGCUCGUAGUUGAACCUUGGGCCUGGCUGGCCGGUCCGCCUCACCGCGUGCACUGGUCCGGCCGGGCCUUUCCUCCUGGGGAGCCGCAUGCCCUUCACUGGGUGUGUCGGGGAACCAGGACUUUUACUUUGAAAAAAUUAGAGUGUUCAAAGCAGGCCUAUGCUCGAAUACAUUAGCAUGGAAUAAUAGAAUAGGACGUGUGGUUCUAUUUUGUUGGUUUCUAGGACCGCCGUAAUGAUUAAUAGGGAUAGUCGGGGGCAUCAGUAUUCAAUUGUCAGAGGUGAAAUUCUUGGAUUUAUUGAAGACUAACUACUGCGAAAGCAUUUGCCAAGGAUGUUUUCAUUAAUCAGUGAACGAAAGUUAGGGGAUCGAAGACGAUCAGAUACCGUCGUAGUCUUAACCAUAAACUAUGCCGACUAGGGAUCGGGCGAUGUUAUCUUUUUGACUCGCUCGGCACCUUACGAGAAAUCAAAGUUUUUGGGUUCUGGGGGGAGUAUGGUCGCAAGGCUGAAACUUAAAGAAAUUGACGGAAGGGCACCACCAGGAGUGGAGCCUGCGGCUUAAUUUGACUCAACACGGGGAAACUCACCAGGUCCAGACACAAUAAGGAUUGACAGAUUGAGAGCUCUUUCUUGAUUUUGUGGGUGGUGGUGCAUGGCCGUUCUUAGUUGGUGGAGUGAUUUGUCUGCUUAAUUGCGAUAACGAACGAGACCUUAACCUGCUAAAUAGCCCGGCUAGCUUUGGCUGGUCGCUGGCUUCUUAGAGGGACUAUCGGCUCAAGCCGAUGGAAGUUUGAGGCAAUAACAGGUCUGUGAUGCCCUUAGAUGUUCUGGGCCGCACGCGCGCUACACUGACAGAGCCAACGAGUUCAUCACCUUGGCCGAAAGGCCUGGGUAUCUUGUUAAACUCUGUCGUGCUGGG
rnacentral:rRNA from 1 species